CAGUCGCCGCGGGAAUACAGAGGGUGCAAGCGUUAAUCGGAAUUACUGGGCGUAAAGCGCGCGUAGGUGGUUUGUUAAGUCGGAUGUGAAAUCCCCGGGCUCAACCUGGGAACUGCAUCCGAAACUGGCAAGCUAGAGUAUGGUAGAGGGUAGUGGAAUUUCCUGUGUAGCGGUGAAAUGCGUAGAUAUAGGAAGGAACACCAGUGGCGAAGGCGACUACCUGGACUGAUACUGACACUGAGGUGCGAAAGCGUGGGGAGCAAACAGGAUUAGAUACCCGUGUAGUCCCUGUCUCUUAUAC
rnacentral:rRNA from 1 species